ACUCAAAUGAAUUGACGGGGGCCCGCACAAGCGGUGGAGCAUGUUGUUUAAUACGUCACUAACCGUAGAACCUUACCAGGGCUUGACAUCUGGCGCUACCCUCUGAAAGGAGGGGUUCCGAGCAAUCGGACGCCAAGACAGGUGUUGCAUGGCUGUCGUCAGCUCGUGUCGUGAGAUGUUGGGUUAAGUCCCGCAACGAGCGCAACCCUCACCCCAUGUUGCCAGCGGAUAGAGCCGGGAACUCUUGGGGAACUGCCUUCGCAAGAGGGAGGAAGGUGGGGAUGACGUCAAGUCAGCAUGGCCCUUACGCCCUGGGCUACAAACAUGCUACAAUGGACGGUAGACAAAGGGAACCGAGACCGCAAGGUGGAGGCAAUCUCACAAAUCCGUUCCCAGUUCGGAUCGCAGGCUGCAACUCGCCUGCGUGAAGUCGGAAUCGCUAGUAACCGCCGAUCAGCCAAGCGGCGGUGAAUACGUUCCCGGGCCUUGCACACACCGCCCGU
rnacentral:rRNA from 1 species